GGAUAAGCCCUUACGGGGAAAGAUUUAUCGCCGAAAGAUCGGCCCGCGUCUGAUUAGCUAGUUGGUGAGGUAAUGGCUCACCAAGGCGACGAUCAGUAGCUGGUCUGAGAGGAUGAUCAGCCACAUUGGGACUGAGACACGGCCCAAACUCCUACGGGAGGCAGCAGUGGGGAAUAUUGGACAAUGGGCGCAAGCCUGAUCCAGCCAUGCCGCGUGAGUGAUGAAGGCCCUAGGGUUGUAAAGCUCUUUUGUGCGGGAAGAUAAUGACGGUACCGCAAGAAUAAGCCCCGGCUAACUUCGUGCCAGCAGCCGCGGUAAUACGAAGGGGGCUAGCGUUGCUCGGAAUCACUGGGCGUAAAGGGUGCGUAGGCGGGUCUUUAAGUCAGGGGUGAAAUCCUGGAGCUCAACUCCAGAACUGCCUUUGAUACUGAAGAUCUUGAGUUCGGGAGAGGUGAGUGGAACUGCGAGUGUAGAGGUGAAAUUCGUAGAUAUUCGCAAGAACACCAGUGGCGAAGGCGGCUCACUGGCCCGAUACUGACGCUGAGGCACGAAAGCGUGGGGAGCAAACAGGA
rnacentral:rRNA from 1 species